GGUUUUCAACACAGGGUAGCUCUGGCUGUCCUGUAACUCUCUUUAGACCAGGCUGGUCUCUAACUCAGAGAUCCACUUGCCUCUGCCUCCAGAGUGCUGCCCAUUUUAAAGUGGAGGUUGCGGUAGUUUUAUCAGUGAGAGCCUUCGUAAGGCGGAGGCUGUAGGGUGGGGCUCGGGCUCUAGAAAAUCCGCUUCCCUUCCUGGGAGCUUCAGAUUUUUGUCUGUUUUACUUCGUAGGAUUGAACUAACUUGUGGACAUGUGGAAUCCUAGUGCUGGGCCAAAUCCAUAUCCACCCCAAGUUGUGUGUCCAGGAGGUUCCAAUCCUGCCUGCCCACCAUCCCAAAAUCCUGCCUUUCCUCCUGGCCCCUGUCCUCCCGGAAUUCCUCAGGGAAACCCAGCUUUCCCUCCGUGUCGACCUCCUUAUCCUGUACCGCAACCAGGGUGUCCAGGAUACCAACCCUCAGGUCCCUACCCUCCCCCGUACCCACCAGCUGCUCCUGGCAUGUGCCCCGUGAAUCCUCCGGCUCCUGGCAUGGUAGGCCCAGGAAUAGUGAUAGACAAGAAGACUAGGAAGAAAAUGAAGAAAGCUCACAAGAAAUCACACAAGCAUCAUAAGCACGGGAAGGUCAGUGUCCUCUGGAGCCUGGCUGGGGAAGGAGCUCCCUUCAGAGGGACCGGGGUGAUCAGGAGUUGGGGAUGGGCAUUCUCGGUUUGUGGGGCGUGGGAGGAGGACGGCAAUCCUGUCCUUUUGGCAGGUGGUUUUCCUUUACGUAAAGAGAUCCUCCUUUAAGGAGUUUAGUAAUAUUGAGGCAUUCGACCACUCCCAUCUGCAAAGGAAAAGUGAAGUGGGGGCGGAUAUCAGAGCCAAAAGCCCUCUCCCUUCUCUCCCUCUAUCCCUGUAACUCCCCGCCUUGACCCACCCUAGGUGUAUCUUUUGGUAAGUUGGACACACCCAUUAAGGUUGUCUAAAUGUCAAAAGAGU
rnacentral:lncRNA from 1 species